rnacentral:sRNA from 1 species
CUUAAACUAUCACAAGACUUGUCAGGCUGUGUUAAUGAAAAUGUUUUGCAAGUAAAUGCAAAGUUUGAGCAACAUUGACUAGUGUACGAAACAAACAUAGCUCGCAAUGUCCAAAGUCACGAAGAUGCCAUUUCAUAAAUGUGCAAUAAAAAGUCCAGCAACUUUUGCCAACUCGAAAUGCGUCUCGUGGGCAUUCAGCAGAUACAAGUAGCCAACAGAUACAAGAUACAAAAUGGAACCUAAGCUGACGACUUGACCACCAAUGGGAAUACGAAAUUCGAAAUGGUAAAACAAAAGCUGCAAAUCCGUAAUGAUAAUUCCACGAUUAUGUUGUGCUUAUGGCAAAGUUUUUGUCGGAGAUGUUGCUGUGGACUGAGGGAAAAACAGCCGGGCAACUGAGCAAAUAUUGUCCAAAGGACAAUAUUUAUCUUUUGCCUACGCUUAACACGUAUACGCCCCCAUGGUAAUUGCUGCAUAAUAAACAAGAAUCUGAA